AACUCCACGGUCUUCACUGCACACCUGGAUCGCAUUGUUUCGAAGUCGUUUUCGCCAUCAUCACAAUCCGAAUCGGUUCGGAUUCAUCCUCAUCUUCGCUGAAUUGCUGCAACCGGAGUCCAAUACGAAUCUGAUCCUAGCUAACGCUUAUUCCUGAAAUGCGACAUGGAUAUCUCCGGCGAAGGCGAAGACAAUCCGGCGGCCACACACAAUCUCUCAUUCUCGAUCUGAAUCUUUCAACCAUUUCCUGCAGUCGUGUUUGCAUCGUUCCACUUGUUCCUGAAGGAUGUUAUUUUUCGAUUUCGGCACUUCUGAGAUUGGAAUCUUUGCGAGGCUUGGACUCACACAAGAUCGAACGAAAUCGGUAUCAGGAUUCAACGCAGUGAUUCUUCGAAAUAAAUUUCACAGGUUAGUGAAAAUCUGCAGAAGUUGAAUAAGGGCUAGAGAUGGAGAUUUGCAGGGAGUAUGAACAAGAAUGAAAAAGAAACUGAGUUUUGCAGAAUCAAUGGGUGCUGAAGAUUGCAGGUAGCGUAUGGUUGUUACAGUUGCAGAGUGAAGGGUGGAUAACAGAAUGAAGAGAUAAGAGAAAGAUUGAAAGAGUGAAGAAAACUCGUGGCCCGAGCCAAUGCUUCUGUUAUCAUGGAUGGUUCGAAAAAAUGCAGGUGUUUUUGAACUUGGAUGCGCAAGCCUUGUCGUUUACUGCGUUUCGCAUUUACUCUAAGCUUGCUUUGGUCGUUUCUGCGUUUUGCAUCUUCACAUGUACUUGGUGUUGCAAGCACUUUAUGUUGUGCAAGCCGCAUUCUGCAGCUUGUAUUCCAGUUGCCUUGUGUUUUCAUCUUGUACUUUUCUUCUGCAUUUCCACUGUUCACCUCUUGGUUUGGACAUGACUUAAUACAUGGAUGAGGAUUAAUGGGUUAA